AAGUCCUUCGGGACUUUGAGAGCGGCGUACGGGUGCGUAACACGUGUGCAACCUACCUUUAUCAGGGGAAUAGCCUUUCGAAAGGAAGAUUAAUACCCCAUAAUAUAUUGAAUGGCAUCAUUUGAUAUUGAAAACUCCGGUGGAUAGAGAUGGGCACGCGCAAGAUUAGAUAGUUGGUGAGGUAACGGCUCACCAAGUCAAUGAUCUUUAGGGGUCCUGAGAGGGAGAUCCCCCACACUGGUACUGAGACACGGACCAGACUCCUACGGGAGGCAGCAGUGAGGAAUAUUGGACAAUGGGUGAGAGCCUGAUCCAGCCAUCCCGCGUGAAGGAUGACGGUCCUAUGGAUUGUAAACUUCUUUUGUAUAGGAAUAAACCUACUCUCGUGAGAGUAGCUGAAGGUACUAUACGAAUAAGCACCGGCUAACUCCGUGCCAGCAGCCGCGGUAAUACGGAGGGUGCAAGCGUUAUCCGGAUUUAUUGGGUUUAAAGGGUCCGUAGGCGGACCGAUAAGUCAGUGGUGAAAUCUCAUAGCUUAACUAUGAAACUGCCGUUGAUACUGUCGGUCUUGAGUA
rnacentral:rRNA from 1 species